GACGAACCGUGCGAACGUUGUUCGGAAUCACUGGGCUUAAAGGGCGCGUAGGCGGGCUCCCAAGUCUGGGGUGAAAUCUUUCGGCUUAACCGGAAAAGUGCCUCGGAUACUGGGAGCCUUGAGGGAGGCAGGGGCGGAUGGAACUUCCGGUGGAGCGGUGAAAUGCGUUGAUAUCGGAAGGAACGCCGGUGGCGAAAGCGAUCCGCUGGACCUCUUCUGACGCUGAGGCGCGAAAGCCAGGGGAGCGAACGGG
rnacentral:rRNA from 1 species